UUGCUUGUUUUGGCAGCACAGAUACUAAAAUUGGAACAAUAGAGAGAAGAUUAGCAUCAACCCUGAGAAAGGAUGACAUGCAAAUUUAUAAAGUGUUCCCUGUUUUU